UCUCCAGCAGCCUUUACAGGAAGAUAAAUCGGACGGCCGUGUCGUGACGAUCGGUUAGGUGUUUUUUGAAGAAUUUCGAAGACAUAAAUUUUUGGGGCCAUCAGCUGCAGUGGCAAAAAAAAUGUCGUGCACUGUUGCUGCAGAUCUUACAGCAACAAUCGUCCAGAUCAAAGUGUCCAGGUGCAAGUCCAAACGGACGCCUUCGGAGCGAAGAUUACCAUGUCCGCACUAAUGAAAUUCACAGCAGCAACGGCCAGAACUAUCCCGACGGCAUUCACUGGGACGAUGAGUUUUCACAAUUCCCGUGGAUCUGCGGAAUAUCAGCCACUCGGGAAAAAUAUUACGCUGUCAAUAUGCGGUUCCAAACAGCUUCGCAAUCGAUUUACGGGGGCCAGUAUUUGCGGCAGUCUUAGGUGCAGUUUCGGAUUGUCUUCUCGAAGCCGUAGCUUUCCAUAAUCGACGAAGAACAUUCCCUAGCAGCAGAGCUUAACCAAUAGUUGCCCAAACCAAGAAGACCCCGUCGGACUAAGAUUGGCGUCUAUAUUCCGGAUCACAAGUAGUUGUUUCCGGUUAGUGGAUGGUCAAAUAUACGAAACGGAAAAUUGGAUUUGCAGGUUUCAAAGAUACACUGAAUAAGUGCUUGUGAAUUUGGUUCCAUAGUGCCGAAUGUGCAAAAUGAAAAUGUUAUUUUUUAAUUCCAUUUUAAAUUAUUUGAAUUGAAUAAACUGUA